rnacentral:rRNA from 1 species
UGCCGCGCCACCACAGCCCACCUCCUAAAACAUCAUCCGCUCAAGAGAAAAAAAAACACAACACUGCUAUCGCUUUGUCCUCUCUCCCUUAUCUCUUUCUCUUCCGAUCUGAGCGGCGGCGGCGACGCUCGCAUCCGGCGACGGUUCCACCACUCCGCCCAUCUCUUCCUCCCACCACUCCGUCCAUCUCUUCCUCCCACCACUCCAUCACCAUCCCCACAUCGCUGCUGAUUUCCCAUGUUGAGGUGGUCCUGCAGCGCCGAUGCCCUCACCCAGCUGCCGGUGGCGGCGCUUUUUGUUCGUGCCCAAGCGCUCGGUGAGGUCACCUCUCACCUCCCUCCUAUGGUGCCACCGCCCCAAGCCCCCAACCCAUACGCAGCUCCCUCUUCCCCACUCCCAUUGUUGCAGAUCUGAGCGGGACAAGGUCUCUUCGGCCCUGGUGGUUCGGAACGAGGUGUGCGGCCUCUGCUCCCUUAACUUCUGGAGACUAGGGGCGCGGUGGCUGGUGCCCCAUCUCUCUUAGCCAUCCACAGCAGCAACAACAUCAGGUCAAACAAACUUUCAUAGGUUUGGUGGAUGUUUGGGCAAUUACUCAACUACUAACAAAAGGCCACUCGAUGAUUUUUAUACCUGCAUCACAUCAAGUGGAUUUGGAUAGCACACAAGCUGGCAUGGUCUUCAUCGUGGGUUCAAUCUCCACACGAGUGGAGUGGCCUCUGCCUUGUGCCGCAGCUGCGGACGGGCAGAGGAGACGACGACGUAGGGCACACGGAGCCAGCAACCCUAGAAGCCAUGAUGCCCGCGAACAAAAUUACCUGAAGGAUAGGAAACAGACUACCUGAUCUCACGGAUGCAUGUAGUCUUUUUUUCCUGAUGCGUACAACAAGCGAUCAGGGCAUCAAGGGAUGCUUUCUCACAUUGGGCGUUUGAGCUGGAAAAUUCGUGCUAGGCCAUUAGUGUCAAACACUAAAAGAAACCAGGUUUGCACUUUAUGUAUACGUACAGUUCAUAUCAGUACCAGGUAACGAAAACUCACAGGGGGGCGAGGCGAUGGGGGGUGUCUGACCCCUGCUCGCACCCCCCGCCUCCGCCUCUGACCUAGACUUGAUUAUUGUUUUAUCAUUGUGGUAGGUGACUAGCUAAAAUAAAUUUUGCAUAAUAAAUAUUAGCCAUUAAAGAUGACCAGCUCCAUGAUUAAUAAGUGAGGCUGCUUACUUUGUUAAGUUUGAGGAUUGGUAAUAAAAUAGGUACUUAUCCUGGAACCACUAAAAUCCAAGAUACAUGAUUUUGGUGGUUCCAGGGUAAGUACCUAUUUUGUUAUUUCAGCAUUAUACAUGAUUAAUGCUUUGAAGGUAAGUGUAAUAAACACAUGAUUGCUGUACAUGAAUCCAUGAUUAUUUUCUUUGGGAGAUACUAUAUUUUUCUUUGUAAAUGUAAUGAUUACAUCCAUUUAUGUGCAAUAACAUUGCAGAAUAUUCGAUAGAGAACUCAGCAAUCAAACCUACGUACAUGUUAACAUGUGAGGGUGCAACCGAAUAGCUGUACAUGAAUCUGGAACAAGAGGAAGAACCGAGCAUUCUUCAAGAAGCUGCUUCUAUUCGUGCACAAUGGCGUCGUAGUCAGGGUUCAAUUGACACAUGGUGUGUAAGCAUUUGCCUAUCUACCUAAAGGGUAUGCUGGAGGGUUGCCAACAUCAAUGUGCUAUGUGCUGCAGAAAUGGAUUUUCAAAAACCUCUAGCACAUGGUGUCCUAGGAAUUCCUGGAUAUGUCGACCUGCUAGCUCAUUAUCAGGAAAAAUAGGCAAGAAGACGAGGAAACAUGAAGACGGUGGUUUGUGUAAAUGGGAUAUUUUGUGUAAUGGUGACUGAAUCGUUGGAGAUGCACUUUAUAUAUCAUUUUGUAAACUCGCAUUGUGUCUGACAAAAUGAACCAUAUUGUAAUGGAUGAAGUAUUUACAUCUGAAAUUAAUUAAUGUGUUAUUGUUUGGUUAUGGUUUAUUAUUGUUAGGG